UACGUAGAGGGCAAGCGUUGUCCGGAAUCAUUGGGCGUAAAGAGCGUGUAGGCGGCUCGGUAAGUCCGCUGUGAAAGUCCAGGGCUCAACCCUGGAAUGCCGGUGGAAACUGUCGAGCUAGAGUCCGGAAGAGGCGAGUGGAAUUCCUGGUGUAGCGGUGAAAUGCGCAGAUAUCAGGAGGAACACCAAUGGCGAAGGCAGCUCGCUGGGACGGUACUGACGCUGAGACGCGAAAGCGUGGGGAGCAAACAGG
rnacentral:rRNA from 1 species